rnacentral:rRNA from 1 species
UUGAACGCUGGCGGCAUGCCUUACACAUGCAAGUCGAACGGUAGAGGGGCAACCCUUGAGAGUGGCGAACGGGUGAGUAAUAUAUCGGAACGUGCCCAGUCGUGGGGGAUAACGCAGCGAAAGCUGCGCUAAUACCGCAUACGAUCUAUGGAUGAAAGCGGGGGAUCGCAAAGACCUCGCGCGAUUGGAGCGGCCGAUAUCAGAUUAGGUAGUUGGUGGGGUAAAAGC